CUGAAUUCUGCGCAUUGCAGGGAGCAGGAACCGACGUCGUCGUCUGGGAGGCAGCCAAGGAUGGAGGUCACUCUUAGUUCAUCUUCCUCUUUGGUCCGUCUCCUGAUGGCUGCCAUGGAGGUUGCUAUUAAGUGAGCAGGUAGUUUGUCAUUGUUCGUGAAUCAUCUGUUUAGUCUUUCUCUUCACUUAAUCGAUGUUUAGCUUUAUAAUAAGUAAACUAUGGUAUGGUGAGUACCUCUCAAUACUCGAUGGCUUCCCUUAUUUAGACUGUUGAUUUAUUUUCGAAUAAUAGGCCCCUGUUCCAGUUCAAAAGGGAAUCAUGUAGCAGCAGCAAUUAAUAUGCUUUUCAGUUUUAUUAUAACUAAAUUUCAAAAUAAAUGUGUCAUAACAUAAGUAUUGAGUCUAUGAUUGUAUAUAUGUAUCGAACCUUGAUGAACUGGUUUGGUUGAUAUUAUUUUAAAUUUAGUUUCAGAUACUACCGAAUUUCUGAUUUUCGGUUACAUAUAAUUAUGAUAUAUGUUGCAUCAUCUUUGUGUUCAAACUUCAGAUAUGUCAGCAAGCCACUUUCGAGCCUUGCUCAUUUACAUCAGUAUUUGUUUUCACAUUAGUGCACCAUGGUCUUUUUGUCUUUCAUUUCUACCUAAAGAGCAACAAUCAGACUUCCUAUGAGAACUUCAGGUAUCGGUGCGGCAAACGGGCUAACCCAUAUAACAUGAUUGCUUGGAGCUGACAUAGAGGGUGGCGAGAUGCAGAGAAGCCCUAGGUACAGGUGAAGGGAGACGCUGGGUGGCAGGUCGAGCAACUAUGGUUGGGGUGGCUGUGUGAAGAAGAGAGAGGUAGGAAAGGAAGUGUUGGGCUAACUGAUGCUACCGGGAUGAAUCAGGGAGAUUAGAGAAGUUGAGAGAGAUUUCGGCGAUGUUUAGGAGAAGAGGAUUUCUCUAGCUAUGCCAACCCAAGAUGUGUGAUGCUCAAGAAGGUAUGUGAUGCUAACGCAUAUACAAAGAACGAGGUGUGUUGUUAAUUUGGUGGACAGUGCCCUUCUUAAAAUAAAUAUGUGGUGCCGUAGACAACUGAAGAAUUAUCACUUAUAGUUCCGUUAGGUUUGUUACCUCCGUUGUUCGGAUACUUAAAUGUUUCACUGAGGAUUUUUUAAUCCAUCCGGCCAUCAGCUUAUACCUGGAUGUACCUUCAUGUUCUACAAAUCUAUUAAUUUAUCAUAGGACAAGCAGACGAUGGAAGUAGUAUAGUUUCUUGAAUUAUUACCAUGGUCCGCCAAAAAUUUUAAUUAUUGAAUCAACAUAAGUUUUAUGUUUCUCUGUUGUAAUUCUUCUGUAGGCUGUUUUCUGUGUCUCUGCAAGUGCCUUUUUGCUCAGAUGCUUUUUUUACAGUGCAUCAAGUGGAGUUUAGUUCAUUCACCUCUCCACAUCUCCUCAUUUUCAUGAUUGUUCAGAUUGCUAACUGCCCACCUUUCUGUUCCUUUUAGUUCCAAAUAAUCUUUUUUUUCGAAUGAAUGCAUGCUUAUAGUAUUGAAAUAUAUUUUUUCUAUACUUGGUAGAUCAUAAACCGCCAAAUUACGCUGCUACUGGUGUGUUUACUGCUCCAUAAUUGAGUCAGUUUUGUGUGCAUUAUCUGAACAAUGUCAACGCUGCCUUCCUUCUGACAUACUAUUUCGGCUGUUGAUCGAUGUUGCGGCUGCUGCGGCUGGUGGUGCUCUGGGCACGCAAGGGGAGCGCGGCACACAAACUCCGCCUGCUCAAGACGUUGCGCCACAACCAUGCCGGCCUCGGUGUCAGGCGCAACGAUUAGUUUGCACUAUGGCGAACUAGAAUUCCCCAGCGCACACUUGCUCCAGUUUAUCCUCUACGGCAAUGGUCACUACUUCUGCGAUGCCUGUGAGAGGGAUGUGGACUGCAUCGAGGACUACUACGAUGGCGAGCAAAACGAGCUCGGCCUGGAGAACCUCGAUGAUGGGCAGAUGAGCAGUUGCUCUAUAGUGGCAGGUCCUCGUGGCUGCAGUACAAUGACAUGAGAUGUGCUAGAUACAGUGCUAAG